rnacentral:rRNA from 1 species
CCUACGGGAGGCAGCAGUGGGGAAUAUUGGGCAAUGGGCGCAAGCCUGACCCAGCAACGCCGCGUGAAGGAAGAAGGCCCUCGGGUUGUAAACUUCUUUUUUCAGGGACGUAACAAAUGACGGUACCUGACGAAUAAGCCACGGCUAACUACGUGCCAGCAGCCGCGGUAAUACGUAGGUGGCAAGCGUUAUCCGGAUUUACUGGGUGUAAAGGGCGUGUAGGCGGGAGAGCAAGUCAGAUGUGAAAUUCCAGGGCUCAACCCUGGAACUGCAUUUGAAACUGUUUUUCUUGAGUGAUGGAGAGGCAGGCGGAAUUCGGGGUGUAGCGGUGAAAUGCGUAGAUAUAAGGAGGAACACCGGUGGCGAAGGCGGCCUGCUAAACAUUAACUGACGCUGAGGCGCGAAAGCGUGGGGAGCAAACAGGAUUAGAUACCCGUGUAGUC